AUUGAACGCUGGCGGCAGGCCUAACACAUGCAAGUCGAACGAGUGGCGGACGGGUGAGUAAUGUCUGGGAAACUGCCUGAUGGAGGGGGAUAACUACUGGAAACGGUAGCUAAUACCGCAUACCAUCAGAUGUGCCCAGAUGGGAUUAGCUAGUUGGUGGGGUAACGGCUCACCAAGGCGACGAUCCCUAGCUGGUCUGAGAGGAUGACAGGCAACACUGGAACUGGGACACGGUCCAGACUCCUACGGAGGGAAGAAGGGGGAAAUAUUGCACAAUGGGCGCAGGCCUGAUGCAGCCAGGCCGCGUGUAUGUAGAAGGCCUUCGGGUUGAAAAGUACUUUCAGCGGGGAGGCGUUACCCGCAAAGGAAGCACCGGCUAACUCCGUGCCAGCAGCCGCGGUAUUC
rnacentral:rRNA from 1 species